rnacentral:rRNA from 1 species
CCUACGGGUGGCAGCAGUGGGGAAUAUUGCACAAUGGGGGAAACCCUGAUGCAGCGACGCCGCGUGAGUGAAGAAGGAAUUCGUUAUGUAAAGCUCUAUCAGCAGGGAGGAAAAUGACGGUACCUGAGUAAGAAACCCUGGCUAACUACGUGCCAGCAACCGCGGUAAUACGUAGGGGGUAAGCGUUAGCCGGAUUGACUGGGUGUAAAGGGAGCGUAGACGGCAGUGCAAGUCUGGAGUGAAAGGCGUGGGCUCAACCCCCGGACUGCUCUGGAUACUGGACGGCUGGAGUGCAGGAGAGGGAAGUGGAAUUCCUAGUGUAGCGGUGAAAUGCGUAGAGAUGAGGAGGAACACCAGUGGCGAAGGCGGCUUACUGGACUGUAACUGACGUUGAGGCGCGAAAGCGUGGGGAGCAAACAGGAUUAGAUACCCCUGUAGUC